rnacentral:rRNA from 1 species
AGUGAACGCUGGCGGUAGGCCUAACACAUGCAAGUCGAACGGCAGCACAGUAAGAGCUUGCUCUUACGGGUGGCGAGUGGCGGACGGGUGAGGAAUACAUCGGAAUCUACUUUUUCGUGGGGGAUAACGUAGGGAAACUUACGCUAAUACCGCAUACGACCUACGGGUGAAAGCAGGGGAUCUUCGGACCUUGCGCGAUUGAAUGAGCCGAUGUCGGAUUAGCUAGUUGGCGGGGUAAAGGCCCACCAAGGCGACGAUCCGUAGCUGGUCUGAGAGGAUGAUCAGCCACACUGGAACUGAAGCACGGUCCAGACUCCUACGGGAGGCAGCAGUGGGGAAUAUUGGACAAUGGGCGCAAGCCUGAUCCAGCCAUACCGCGUGGGUGAAGAAGGCCUUCGGGUUGUAAAGCCCUGUUGUUGGGAAAGAAAAGCAGCAGGUUAAUACCCCGCUGUUCUGACGGUACCCAAAGAAUAAGCACCGGCUAACUUCGUG